ACGGACGCAGCAGUUUUGGCUCGGAGCGCGCUAGCACACGAUAAACUAACAGAAGAGAACUGGCUAGUAAAUACUAUCCAGUGACUGUUAGUAGGAGGCGUUGGGAAACCGCCUGCCCGACAGCUGUGCAGCCGCAGACGACGGUGAUUCAGAGCGAGGCAUCAGCAUCGGCGGCUAGCAGCUAACGGCUAGCAGGAGCUCGUCGUGGUGACGAGCGCCAUCAUCUUUGCCCUGUCGGUGGCGAGUGGUGAGCGGAAACAGACUGCAGACGAGACCUGGUUGACUGUCGUCCGGAGGGGACGAGAGGGUGAGCUGGUUCGCAACGCGGAACUGUAAGUCAGACGUUUCUGGUGCAGCUAUCGAGAGUGAUCCUGUCUACUCAGCAGUGAGAACAGAAGACAUCAGUUACGGACAAACAGCCAUCAGACCAAAGAGAUCACGAGACUUUAAACCAGAGCCAGACGUUGUCUACUCUUCAGUGAAGUAGCCCACCAGCCCAACCACUGACGUCCAGCUGCUGCUCUCUGACUGCUCCCCCAGCACCUCAGACCAGAAACCAUCCACAUGUUAAACUAUCUUUGUGUGUGUUUCCCACUAAUUACAGUAAUGUAACCCCCAUUUUCUCAUUGGAAAUUUUAAGUGUGUAUUCUGAAAAAAUACACACAUGUAUGCACACAUAAAAUAUUUUUUUAAAACUGUGAGCUCUAUAUUGUAACUAUUAUUCAUGUUUUGAUUGUGUGGUUCUGUGGGUUUGACAAAGGUGUUAGAUGGAAAAUUUGACUUGUUCUGGUUUAGUUGUGGCUGAAGAUACACAUGUCUGAGUGUAGAAAACACAGAAUGAACAUUAAACCACAACCACAGACUCAAAACAACAGAAACAUCAUUCAGUGGCUGUAAACUGAAAAGCUUCAGCUCAUCAUGUGUUUAAGACUGAAAAGGUUUUUUUUCUUUAUGUCCUAAAUCACUUAAAAAAACAAAACAAUAACAGUGAUGCCUGAAAAAUUAUAUUCUUAUGAAGUAACUUUAUGUCAGCACUUUGUGAGUUUGUGUUCAGAUUUUAAACCAGUCCAACACUGAUGUCCAGCUGAUGCUCUUUAACUGGUCCCUCAGCACCUCAGACCAGAGCGCUGACAGAAACAAUGCACUGACAUAUUUAGUCUUUUUCCUUUUAUUACAGAGAAUCUAACCCCAAAACUUUUUUCUGAUGUUGGAAAUUUUAAUAAACAACUGGAAGGCA